rnacentral:rRNA from 1 species
UACGUAGGGUGCGAGCGUUGUCCGGAAUUAUUGGGCGUAAAGAGCUUGUAGGCGGUUUGUCGCGUCUGCCGUGAAAAUCCGGGGCUCAACCCCGGACUUGCGGUGGGUACGGGCAGACUAGAGUGUGGUAGGGGAGACUGGAAUUCCUGGUGUAGCGGUGAAAUGCGCAGAUAUCUGGAGGAACACCGGUGGCGAAGGCGGCAUCCUGGACCAAUAUUGACGCUGAGGAGCGAAAGCCAGGGGAGCAAACGGG